CGUAGGUGAGUUGAACUAAAUGUUUGGAGUAGACGACUUAUCUCACAUGCUCGGCCCAUGUCGACAGCGUUUUUAAAAAUGACCACGAUCAUCCAGGGGUGGCAACGGCUGAAAGAGGACGAUGACCGUAAGAGUGUAUUUCGAAUCCUUCGGUUUUGAGCAUGGCGGCGUUGUCGGCUACUUCAGGAUACGAUGGUCUCGAUGUCCUAUAUGGGAGAAUGAAUGCAUAUCACGGGAUUAACAAGUUAG
rnacentral:lncRNA from 1 species